AGCAGCCGCGGUAAUUCCAGCUCCAAUAGCGUAUAUUAAAGUUGUUGCAGUUAAAAAGCUCGUAGUUGAAUUUCGGGGUUAGUAGGUUGGUCAUGCCUCUGGUAUGUACUGGUCUCACUGAUUCCUCCUUCCUGAUGAACCUUAAUGCCAUUUAUUUGGUGUUUUGGGGAAUUUGGACUGUUACUUUGAAAAAAUUAGAGUGUUUAAAGCAAGCUAACGCUUGAAUACAUUAGCAUGGAAUAAUGAAAUAGGACGUUCGAUCCUAUUUUGUUGGUUUCUAGGAUUGACGUAAUGAUUAAUAGGGAUAGUUGGGGGCAUUAGUAUUCAAUUGUCAGAGGUGAAAUUCUUGGAUUUAUUGAAGACUAACUACUGCGAAAGCAUUUGCCAAGGAUGUUUUCAUUAAUUCAAGAACGAAAGUUAGGGGAUCGAAGACGAUCAGAUACCGUCGUAGUCUUAACCAUAAACUAUGCCGACUAGGGAUCGGAUGAUGUUAAUUUUUUUAAUGACUCAUUCGGCGCCU
rnacentral:rRNA from 1 species